AGAGUUUGAUCCUGGCUCAGAAUGAACGCUGGCGGCGUGCUUAACACAUGCAAGUCGAACGAGGCUGGGGGGGCAACUCUCCAGUCGAGUGGCGGACGGGUGAGUAACACGUGGGUAACCUGCCCGGAAGUGGGGAAUACCUCGGGGAAACUCGAGCUAAUACCGCAUGACAUCUUCGGGACGAAAGUCCUGACGAUCAAAGCGGGGUCGCAAGAUCUCGCGCUACCGGAUGGGCCCGCGCCCGAUUAGCUAGUUGGCGAGGUAACGGCUCACCAAGGCUUCGAUCGGUAACCGGCCUGAGAGGGCGAUCGGUCACACCGGAACUGAGACACGGUCCGGACUCCUACGGGAGGCAGCAGUGGGGAAUCUUGCGCAAUGGGCGAAAGCCUGACGCAGCAACGCCGCGUGGAGGAUGAAGGCCCUUGGGUUGUAAACUCCUGUCGGUUGGGAAGAAAUCUUGCGGGGCUCAUACCUCCGCAAGUUGACUGUACCAGCAAAGGAAGCCCCGGCUAACUCUGUGCCAGCAGCCGCGGUAAUACAGAGGGGGCCAGCGUUAUUCGGAAUUAUUGGGCGUAAAGGGCGCGUAGGCGGCCUUGCGUGUCUUUCGUGAAAUCCCUCGGCUUAACUGAGGACGUGCGGAAGAAACUGCAGGGCUCGAGUCCGGGAGAGGGGGGUGGAAUUCCCAGUGUAGCGGUGAAAUGCGUAGAUAUUGGGAGGAACACCGGUGGCGAAGGCGGCCCCCUGGACCGGUACUGACGCUGAGGCGCGAAAGCGUGGGUAGCAAACGGGAUUAGAUACCC
rnacentral:rRNA from 1 species